AUUGAACGCUGGCGGCAGGCCUAACACAUGCAAGUCGAGCGGAUGAAGGGAGCUUGCUCCUGGAUUCAGCGGCGGACGGGUGAGUAAUGCCUAGGAAUCUGCCUGGUAGUGGGGGAUAACGUCCGGAAACGGGCGCUAAUAUCGCAUACGUCCUGAGGGAGAAAGUGGGGGAUCUUCGGACCUCACGCUAUCAGAUGAGCCUAGGUCGGAUUAGCUAGUUGGUGGGGUAAAGGCCUACCAAGGCGACGAUCCGUAACUGGUCUGAGAGGAUGAUCAGUCACACUGGAACUGAGACACGGUCCAGACUCCUACGGGAGGCAGCAGUGGGGAAUAUUGGACAAUGGGCGAAAGCCUGAUCCAGCCAUGCCGCGUGUGUGAAGAAGGUCUUCGGAUUGUAAAGCACUUUAAGUUGGGAGGAAGGGCAGUAAGUUAAUACCUUGCUGUUUUGACGGUACCAACAGAAUAAGCACCGGCUAACUUCGUG
rnacentral:rRNA from 1 species